rnacentral:tRNA from 1 species
GGUUGUGGCUCAGAGGUAGAGCGCAUGCCUAGCAAACAUGAGGCACUGGGUUUGAUCCUCGGCACCA